AUGGUCUGCUACUUGUUAUGGAGAUGUUUGUUCCUGGUCCUCUGUGGAGUGUGCUCCAUGUUCCAGAGUUCUUCGGGCUGUUUCAUGGAGGAGAGAGCAGCCCUCAUGGAUAUUCGCUCUUGGCUUGUGAAUGCAGAGUCCAAGGCUCCCACUUCUUGGGGAGACGGUGGUGACUGCUGCUCAUGGGAAAGGAUAACCUGCGACAAUACCACACACCGACUGUCUCAUCUCAACCUUUUCCAGACCUACCAAGAAAACCUACAGUAUUUCGAAGAUGAAUGUCCGAAUUUUAACUUGACGAUCUUUUCUUCGUUUCGGGGGCUUCAACUACUGAAUUUCUCUGGACAUCACGCUUGUUUACAGAAUUUCGAGGGUCUCCAAGGAUUGAGUAAGCUCAAGUAUCUCGACCUCAGUUACAACAGUUUUCAAGGUGGGGGUAUCCCAGGAUCUGUUGGCAAAUUGGUUUCUCUAGAAGUCAUAAAUCUCAAUGGAAACAACAUAGGUGGGACUCUUCAUAGUACAGAUUUCAGUAAUCUCCGUAAUCUGCGUGAAUUGCAUUUGGGAUCUAGUCAAUUGAAGGGUAGCCUCCCAGCAUCCAUAUUUGCACUUCCACGCCUUGAGUACCUGGAUCUUUCAUACAACCUCUUCGAAGGACAUAUACCUAUAAACUUAUCUCGGAACUUGCGAUUGCGAGAAUUGUAUUUGACUUUCAAUAGAUUGAGUGGAGGCCUCCCAACAUCCUUAUUUGCACUUCCACGGCUUGAGUACUUGGAUCUUUCAGACAACCUAUUUCAAGGACAUAUUCUUACAAACUCAUCUUGGAACCUCCGAGCAUUGCAUUUGGGAUCCAAUCAAUUGAGUGGUACCCUCCCAGCAUCCGUAUUUGCACUUCCAUGCCUUGAGUACUUGGAUCUUUCAUACAACCUCUUUAAGGGACAUAUACAUAUAAACUCAUCUUGGAACCUGCGAGAAUUGCAUUUGAGAUCCAACCAAUUGAGUGGUAGGGUCCCAGGAUCCGUAUUUGCACUUUCAUGCCUUGAGUACUUGGAUCUUUCAGAAAACCUAUUACAAGGGCAUAUACCUAUAAGCUCAUCUUGGAAGUGUACAUCAUCGCUUCAUACCAUCCGGUUAUCUGAUAACAGGCUAAGCGGUCAAUUUGAUUUCUUCUGGCUAAGAAACUGUGCCAAACUCAAAGAGAUAGAUCUGUCCAGGAAUACUGAUUUGGUCAUUCAAGUGCAAAUGCAUGGCUGGGUACCUAAAUUUCAGUUGAAUACACUAAGGCUCUCUUGGUGUAACCUUGAUAAGAGCAUGAUUACCGAGCCACAUUUCCUGCACACACAGAAUCAUCUGCAGUUUCUCGAUUUGUCCAACAAUAAUUUGCCGGGGAGCAUGCCCAACUGGUUGUUCACAAAUAAAACCACACUAGUUUAUCUGAAUCUUGCAAAUAACUCACUAGUUGGAUCACUAGAUCUGAUAGGGCAACCACAAACUAAUCUUAAACAGGUGAAUGUAUCAUUGAACCUAGUUGAAGGACAACUGCCAGCCAACAUUGGUUUCAUGUUUCCCCAUCUCAUAAUUCUCGAUGUUUCCCGCAACACUAUUUCUGGAACAAUACCACCAGCAUUGUGCAACAGCAGCAUACAACUUAUGGACCUAUCAAAUAACAGAUUUACAGGAAAAGUACCAGCUUGCUUGUUCACUGAUUGUUAUGCAAUGAAUAUAUUGAAGCUCUCAAACAAUACACUUGGUGGCAAGAUACUUGAUGGGGCUAGUAGCUUCUCCGGUGACCUAUGGGCAAUACACCUAGGCAACAACAAAUUUGAAGGGACUCUCCCUAGAAAUCUGUCUGGUAAUGUCCAAAUCAUGGAUCUGCAUGAUAACAAGAUGUCGGGAGAACUGGACACUUCCUUAUGGUGUCUUCCUUCACUGCAAGCUUUGAGCCUUGCUAAUAAUGGUUUAACUGGUGGCAUUCAUCCAGAAAUUAGCACAUUAACAAAUCUUAUGAUGUUAGACCUGUCAGGCAACUACUUUACAGGACGUCUCCCAAACUGCGACACUAUGGUAUACCUCACGUUUCUGAGUGUAUCGGGGAAUUCCCUGUCAGGCUCCCCGGGUGCCUUUUUCAACAGCUCCUACAUUACGGCUUUAGAUCUCAGCAAUAAUCAGUUCACAGGCAACCUUGAGUGGGCACAACAUCUUUCUCAAGUCAGUGUACUUUUGUUAAGCAGGAAUAAGUUUGAGGGACAUAUCUCUUCAAAUCUCUGUCAUCUCCAACACUUGAGUAUAAUUGACGUCUCGCACAACAAACUUUCGGGUUCCGUACCACCAUGUAUUGGUGGCAUUCCAUUUGAACCCAUUGAUCCUUUCGAAAAUUGGCCCGCAGCUGGUAGUAUUACCUAUGGAGGAGGCGAAUAUGGUGCGGACUUUGUUUAUAACAAUAAUUAUGACCUCCCAGGCUUCACCUUCACAACUAAAGGGCACCCAUACACAUAUGGACAAAACUUCUUCAUGUCGAUGUCUGGCAUUGACUUCUCUUCAAACAUGCUGUCAGGUGAGAUUCCGAAGGAGAUGGGGAAUUUGAGCCAUAUCAAGUCUCUCAAUUUGUCGAACAAUUUCUUGACUGGACCGAUUCCUGCAACCCUCGCAAAUAUGAGCGAGAUCGAAAGCUUAGACCUGUCCAAAAACAGGCUGAAUGGGUUGAUACCAUGGCAGUUGACACGGCUAUCAUCAUUGGAGGUGUUCUCUGUGGCAUACAACAACUUAUCGGGAUGUCUACCAGACUCUGGUCAGUUUGGCUCAUUUGAUACAGACUGUUACAGAGGGAACAACAACCUUCGAUCCUGCACUUCCAGUUCAGGUCAUGUGGCAUGGAAUGGUACUGCAGGAAGUGUGCCUGAUGAUUCUGACCCGAUCCUCUACGUGGUCGCUGCCGUUUCAUUCGUCUUGGCAUUUUGGGCCACUAUCAGUUUCGUAUUCUGCCAUUCAUUUGGGCGGCGUGUUAUUCUCAAACUGUGGUAG
rnacentral:rRNA from 1 species